UCCUUACCUAGGAAAUAGACAUUAUGGAUAGGCAUUACACAAUAGUCAGCUGGUUUUUCAACAGCCAAGCCUAAGUCCCCACUCAUUCACAGUAACCUAACGCCUGACAUCACAAUUCCUCGUGUUCAUAAACACAUUGGUUGAUCUUGAAGGGUUAAAGGUUGCUGCAUGUUAGACGACUGUCAGAGAUUGUACAUUGCAAUCACUAUGUAAACUAAUUGUAUUCUAUUUAGAAUAACACUUUUUUUUCAUUAGUUAGAAGCUGGAAGAAAAUGAGACAUUUGUGAAGAAUUUAAAACUGCUUCAUAAAAAUUUCAGCUCUUCAAGUCCUGUCAUGAACAUGUAUCUCAACUGCUUAAGGAGUCAGGAAUAUAAGAUAGAGAGCACAAGCAACACCCAUCAGCUUGAAGUUCUCAAAAAGUCAUUUAGAAGCAUUAAAUGUAUCUAAGCAAGCAUACUGCAUUUCAUAUCCAAGAGUUCUGAGUAUUGGUCAGAAUUUCCCAGUUUUUAGCAGGGAUUGACUUAAUAUAUAUAUGAAACACUUUCAUUUCCUUGUUCAGCUAUACUUUUCUAGGGCUACAGGAGAUUUUUCACCUCUGAAUACAGCUUGUAGACAAAACUCUGUUGCUCCUCCCCUCCAAGUGAAUUUGCUGCUCUCAGAGUCCAAGGGCAGCGGUGUCACUGUGGAGUCCUGGGCAAAGAACUAAGGUCCACUUGAGUGUAUUUUACACAUUUCUUCCUUCAACCUCUUCACCCUGUUUUCCUUGUCUAAAUUUCUCUGCAAGUGAGUACUGAGCUCUGUGAAAGUGACCUGGGAGGGUCUCACAAGGAAACAACCUUCUUAAAAAAGAUGGGUGGAUGUCCACAUCUCUCAAACUGCAUCUGGAGCUAAGAGUCUCUUCUAGCAUCCAGUGAAAGUACUCCCUGCUCCCGUGACCCAAACACAUACUUUUGGUGCCAUGACUACUGUUCAACAGUCAUUUUUCGAUCGAAAAGGGAUGUCUGCUGAUUUGGCAACCCAAUUCUGAAGCUUUUGCCUGGAAAACAUUAAACUACUGAAGUAAUUAUUUACAUACUAAGUAUUAAAACAAAACCAGCCUGCAUUACAAGAGCACUGUUUCACCGUGAUUGGUUCACUAACUUUUUUUGUUAAUAAGCAACAUGAGACAGACUGUACAUCCAGUCUCUUUCUUUUUAAUGCAUUGAUACAAUCACUGACUUUAAAAAUAAUUAAAAAUGCUCUUCAGUAAGGGAAGACACAAAUAAGUUUUCUGUCACUUUAUUACACUAAGUGCAGUUACUAUCACAAUACUCUCCACAGACAGGCUAAAAUAGCAUUUGGAAAGCUAUGAGUUUUUAAACAAUAUGUUACAGCUUGGAAAAGUUUCAGGAUGUUUGUCCAUAUCUCUGUAUCUAAACGUACACAGGCACCUGAAAGUACAGUGAAAGUAUGUCCAUUAAAAUGUAUUUGAUUUUUUUUUAAGUGAAAACCUGUUUUAAAAUUUCAAGUUCAUAAUUCAAUAUUUAGGGUUCUAGAACUCUGUCUGUAAGGCAGGCACACUUUUAUCCAGAAAAGGCUGAUGGAGCUUUUUCCUGCAGUAUCUCAUAGGACUUAACAAUAUACACAUACAUGCAACCUUUCCUUCUCUGCAGUUUCCUAAGUGAUUAGGCAGAAAUUAGAAGAGGCUUAACCCAAGUGCAGAUUAUGGCUCCAAUUCAGCAAACAAUUAAGGCACAAUUGUGAGGAGCUAACCUGAGUUUACCUAAAAGCUCCACAGAAGUCAUUGAAACAGUUUCUGAUGCAUGAUCUGUACAGUCAUAAAAUUUCUUCUGGAAAAACCCACUAAAACCAUAACAUCAAAGGAUGUGAACUGGACCCAGAGUGAAGCUGUGAGAGUGAAUAACCUCUGGUAGCUCCCCCAGACUCAGUUACACUGGUAUGUCUGUGCUUCUAGGAAAGCUCCAGAGCCAGGCAGCUGAAAUCGGGGCUGCUAGCAUGCUCCCCUUACAUAAAAAUGUAAGAGCAAGGCAUAGAGUCAUACUGACCCUACAACGAGUAUUUAAGUGCUUAAAGAUAACCACUUGCCUGCUGUAUUAGAACAGAGCUGAAAAUAGAACACAUCAUUUGGUAUCUUUGCUCAAAUCCUACUCCCACGUUAAUUCAAAUGAGCUUCCUGAUCUCCCCUGUAGUACCUGGAGAGCAGUUGCUCAUACCAGAGCAAUCAGAACUGAAAGAAAGCUAGUAUUCACCAAUUCUUCACCAGAACAUUGCUAACAGUCUUCAGUUUGGGGACAGAAAUGUCAUUAUUCUCAGCCUUAUCUACAGAUACUUGUAUUAGCAUAUCAUUCACCACUGUAGUUUAGCCUGUCCUGCUAUUUUCCUUCACAAACGGGUUUCCAGCUGUCUCAAACCAGCUCCAUACCAUAUAAAACACAUACCUCCAUUAAGGUAACAUUUAAUUCUUAAAUCAGCUCAAGAACUGUGAUUUGCAUACAAUCCAUUAAAAUUCAUUGGUUUAUGAAUAAUUAAUUUCCAUUCUAACACUGUUUUAAAAGCAUGAACAGUAACAUAUUAAAAGGCAUUGUCACUCUUGGACAGGAAAUGUCAAAAGAGCAGAUACUAAGUUAAGAAGCAAUUACUAUGUUAAAAUCAGAAUUUCAUUUAUUGCGUGGCAUUUCAAUUAUUCCUAUGGAUAUUAGCUAUCCGAGUAGGAAAACACCUAGUGUUCAGCCAUCCUGAAUAUCAUUAACAAUUACUGAUCUUUCUGACCCUCAUUCAAUUUCUGUAAUCACUUGAUGGUGUAUUGAAAUGAGAGAGACUUAUAAAGCCAAAUUGGACUGUUAUAGUCAUAAAGAAAUCAUCACCUAUCAAAGUUCUUAAAUUUAAAGAGACUGAUUUUUUUUAAUAUUGUUUGGUCAACUUGCUUGAAUGCAAAGCAGUAGAUAAACACAAUGAAUACUUGUAGGUGGGUAUGCUGAAGUAUAGAGUAACUAACCUUGUUUUUCCAAGGUUCCAGGUGAUGACAAGCCUGUGAAAAAAAGCACUGAUAUUCAAUUCCCAAGACAUUACUAUAAUUAACUGCCUGAGACACAGCCUGUAGACAAGUAAACUGAAAUUCAGACUUAAAGAGUUAAUUUUACCUAGGGUCAAACUUGUUUGUAGCUCCUCCAGCUACUGAACACUGAGUGGAACUCCAGUUAUUGGCUUUGUGUUUUCAGUUUCUCACCAAUAACAAUUCUGAUGAAUUUUUCUGUACUGUGGAUUCAAUCACAUACUUGGCAAAGAUGCUGACAGAGAAUUCUAUCUAGA